AACCUGCCCAGUAGUAGAGAAUAACUUGGGGAAACUUAAGCUAAUACUUUAUACGUCCCUCGGGAGAAAGCUUUAUGCGCUAUUGGAUGGGCCCGCGUUAGAUUAGUUUGUUGGUGAGGUAACGGCUCACCAAGGCGACGAUCUAUAGCUGGUCUGAGAGGAUGAUCAGCCACACUGGGACUGAGACACGGCCCAGACUCCUACGGGAGGCAGCAGUGGGGAAUAUUGGACAAUGGGGGCAACCCUGAUCCAGCGAUGCCGCGUGAGUGAUGAAGGCCCUAGGGUUGUAAAACUCUUUCGUCAGGGAAGAUAAUGACGGUACCUGAAGAAGAAGAUCCGGCUAACUCCGUGCCAGCAGCCGCGGUAAUACGGAGGGGUCUAGCGU
rnacentral:rRNA from 1 species